CAGUAGCGUAUAUUAAAGUUGUUGCAGUUAAAAGCUCGUAGUUGGAUUUCUGGUACGCUGCGCCUGGCCCGCCCACCGUCAUGUGGUGUGAGUGUCGGUGCGCGGUUGCCAUCCUUCUAGAGAACGUGUCUACCUUUAAUUAGGCCGGGCUACGGGAUCUAGAUCAUUUACUUUGAAAAUUAGAGUGUUUAAAGCAGGCUUUUGCUAUGAAUACAUUAGCAUGGAAUAAUAAUAUAGGACUUUGGUUCUAUUUUGUUGGUUUCUAGAGCUGAGGUAAUGAUUAAUAGGGAUAGUUGGGGCAUGCGUUAUUAAUACUGUCAGAGGUGAAAUUCUUGGAUUUUGUUAAAAGACGGACUACUGCGAAAAGCAUUUUGCCAAGGAUGUUUUUUCAUUGAUCAAGAACGAAAAGUUAGGGGAUCGAAGACGAUCAGAU
rnacentral:rRNA from 1 species